UACGAGAGGCCCAAACGUUAUUCGGAAUUACUGGGCGUAAAGGGUUCGUAGGUGGUGCGGCAAGUUGGGAGUGAAAUCUCUGGGCUUAACCCAGAGGCUGCUUUCAAAACUGCCGUGCUCGAGUGCGAGAGAGGUCAGUGGAAUUGCAGGUGUAGCGGUGAAAUGCGUAGAUAUCUGCAGGAACACCCGUGGCGAAGGCGGCUGACUGGAUCGCAACUGACACUGAGGAACGAAAGCUAGGGGAGCAAACAGG
rnacentral:rRNA from 1 species